rnacentral:rRNA from 1 species
UCAGUGAUGCAGCUAACGCAUUAAACAUUCCGCCUGGGGAGUACGGUCGCAAGAUUAAAACUCAAAGGAAUAGACGGGGACCCGCACAAGUGGUGGAGCAUGUGGUUUAAUUCGAAGAUACGCGAAGAACCUUACCUGGCCUUGACAUUGAUGGAACCCGCUAGAGAUAGUGGGGUGCCCUUCGGGGAGCCUGAAAACAGGUGCUGCACGGCUGUCGUCAGCUCGUGUCGUGAGAUGUUGGGUUAAGUCCCGCAACGAGCGCAACCCUCGUCACUAGUUACUAACGGUUUGGCCGAGGACUCUAGUGAGACUGCCUUCGCAAGGAGGAGGAAGGUGAGGACGACGUCAAGUCAUCAUGGCCCUUACGGCCAGGGCAACACACGUGCUACAAUGGGGUGUACAGUGAGAAGCGAUACCGCGAGGUGGAGCAAAUCUAUAAAGCAUCUCUCAGUUCGGAUUGUAGUCUGCAACUCGACUACAUGAAGCUGGAAUCACUAGUAAUCGUAGAUCAGCUAUGCUACGGUGAAUACGUUCCCGGGUCUUGUACUCACCGCCCGUCACACCAUGGGAGUUGAUUUCACCCGAAGCGGGGAAGCUAAACUGGCUACCCUCCGCGGUGGGAUCAGCGACUGGGGUGAAGUCGUAACAAGGUA